AGUCUUAACUCCUAGUUUUUGCUACUCCUGCCCUUGGGCCCCUCUGCUGCCCUCCCCACUGCUGAUGGCAGGCGAGCUCCUGCCUCAGACCUCAACACUGACUGCUUCAGCGGAAAUGUUCUUCCUUCAGACGUUUAAUCUUUUCCCGUCUACCCCACCUAAACCCCACCCUUCUCCUCUAUCCCCUCUCUUCCAUCUUUUUCUUCUUAGCACUUAUACCACUUAUACUAUUAUAUAUUUUAUUAAUUUUCUUGUAUAUAUUAACAACUUUUCUUGUUUACUACCUUAUCUGUUUGACUCUAAGGGGAGGGUUUUUUGGUUUUUUUUUUUUUUUCCUUCACUGAUACAGUUCCAGCACCAGAAUCAUUCCUGAAAUACUGUAAGCCUUUGUUAAACUCAAUAAAUUAAAUAUUUAAAAAAAUUGCAUAACUUGCCCAAGUUUCUAUAGCACCAAAAAACAGAUUAGAAUUUAAGCCUAUAUGAUUCUAAAGCCUAUGCUCUAACCACCAACUUAUUUUUGCUCCCUCAUGGCUUAUGUCCAAAUGCAUAACAAAAUGCCUAGAACACUAGAAGGUAUGGAAAAUAUGUGUCAAAUGAACUUGAGUAUUAUCCCAUUUCUCCAACAGGACUCCAGGCAUCUGGAGUGCAGGGGUCACAGUGUAAACAUUUUAACAUCCCCAACAGCAUCUAACACAGUGCUUUGCAGUGAGGCAUGCUCAGCGCACAUUUCUUUUUCUUCCCCUUUUAAGACUUCCCUGAUUAACGUCCAAUCUGUUUCUUCCCUGUAAGCUUCAUUUUCAAACGUACAGUUAAUCCAAACAUUUUUUAACGCUUCCAAAAGUAUUCCAUGUAAUCUUAUUUAUAAAUGUACAGAAACCACAUACAUCUAUUGUAUCCCUAUAAUUGUGCUAGGAAACUGAUCCCCGGGGCAUAUCAUCAACACUCUGCUAGCAGCUCCUGUGGACACAUCUGUGAACUGACUACACAUAUGUUGCUUAAACAUCUGAUGCUUCCAUGAUGAUGACAGAUGAGUAAAAGAAGUAAGCCUUCACAUUAUUUCCAAAGAACAGGUGAUGCAGUAUCACUGGGUUACAUAAUUCACUGAAGCCACAGAGAAACUGAGAGAACCAGAGUUUAUACACUGUUCCCUGACUCCAAGUUCUCUGCUAUUCACUGGUUUGUUGUCAGAGUAUAACUGAUGGGUGGCCUGUGCAGCUGUCUAUGGAGAUGAUACUAAGCUAACUCUGCGAAUGCUUAUGGAAGGCCGCUAGAAGCACUGGUGGGGUGGAAAGAACAGAGCACAGAGAAUAGGUCAGGCCCUGGUGUCAAAUUGUUUCUCUUCGACUCCCUACUCUAUCAUAUACUAGCUGGGUGACGGAAGCAAGUCACUUCUCUGUGACUCAGUUUUCUCAGACUGUGAAAUGGCAAUGAUAAUAAUGCCUAACUCAUAGAAUU